AAGUCGUAACAAGGUUUCCGUAGGUGAACCUGCGGAAGGAUCAUUGCAGAGGGGGGGGAGAGAGAUGUUGGAAUGAAAUAUAGAUACCGCGUGACAAACUAUUCUUUAGAAUAAUGACUAGCCACCUGGGAUCUCUGGGCUCUU
rnacentral:misc_RNA from 1 species